rnacentral:rRNA from 1 species
AGCAGCCGCGGUAAUUCCAGCUCCAAUAGCGUAUAUUAAAGUUGUUGCAGUUAAAAAGCUCGUAGUUGAAUUUCGGGAUCAAUACGUCGGUCGUGCUUCGGUACGUACUGGCGUAAUUGAUUUCUCCCCUUCUGACGAACCAUGAUGUCAUUAACUUGGUGUCAUGGGAAAUCAGGACUGUUACUUUGAAAAAUUAGAGUGUUUAAAGCAGGCUCACGCUUGAAUACAUUAGCAUGGAAUAAUGAAAUAGGACGUUCGAUCCUAUUUUGUUGGUUUUUAGGAUCAACGUAAUGAUUAAUAGGGAUAGUUGGGGGCAUUAGUAUUCAAUUGUCAGAGGUGAAAUUCUUGGAUUUAUUGAAGACUAACUACUGCGAAAGCAUUUGCCAAGGAUGUUUUCAUUAAUCAAGAACGAAAGUUAGGGGAUCGAAGACGAUCAGAUACCGUCGUAGUCUUAACCAUAAACUAUGCCGACUAGGGAUCGGAUGAUGUUAAUUUUUAAUGUACUCAUUCGGCGCCUUAA